rnacentral:rRNA from 1 species
GAUGAACGCUAGCUACAGGCUUAACACAUGCAAGUCGAGGGGCAGCAUGACGAUAGCUUGCUAUUGUUGAUGGCGACCGGCGCACGGGUGAGUAACGCGUAUCCAACCUGCCCUUGUCCACCGGAUAACCCGUCGAAAGGCGGACUAACACGGUAUGCAGUCCACAGCAGACAUCUAACGUGGACGAAGUGUGAAGGAGAAGGAUGGGGAUGCGUCUGAUUAGCUUGUUGGCGGGGUAACGGCCCACCAAGGCGACGAUCAGUAGGGGGUCUGAGAGGAAGGUCCCCCACAUUGGAACUGAGACACGGUCCAAACGCCUACGGGAGGCAGCAGUGAGGAAUAUUGGUCAAUGGGCGAGAGCCUGAACCAGCCAAGUAGCGUGCAGGAAGACGGCCCUAUGGGUUGUAAACUGCUUUUAUACGGGGAUAAAGUGAGUCACGUGUGGCUUAUUGCAGGUACCGUAUGAAUAAGGACCGGCUAAUUCCGUGCCAGCAGCCGCGGUAA